UAGGGAAUCUUCGGCAAUGGACGAAAGUCUGACCGAGCAACGCCGCGUGAGUGAAGAAGGGUUUCGGAUCGUAAAACUCUGUUGUUAGAGAAGAACAAGGACGUUAGUAACUGAACGUCCCCUGACGGUAUCUAACCAGAAAGCCACGGCUAACUACGUGCCAGCAGCCGCGGUAAUACGUAGGUGGCAAGCGUUGUCCGGAUUUAUUGGGCGUAAAGCGAGCGCAGGCGGUUUCUUAAGUCUGAUGUGAAAGCCCCCGGCUCAACCGGGGAGGGUCAUUGGAAACUGGGAGACUUGAGUGCAGAAGAGGAGAGUGGAAUUCCAUGUGUAGCGGUGAAGUGCGUAGAUAUAUGGAGGAACACCAGUGGCGAGGGCGGCUCUCUGGUCUGUAACUGACGCUGAGGCUCGAGAGCGUGGGGAGCAAACAGG
rnacentral:rRNA from 1 species